rnacentral:rRNA from 1 species
GAUGAACGCUGGCGGCGUGCUUAACACAUGCAAGUCGAACGGAAAGGCCGAAGCUUGCUUCGGUACUCGAGUGGCGAACGGGUGAGUAACACGUGGGUGAUCUGCCCUGUACUUCGGGAUAAGCUUGGGAAACUGGGUCUAAUACCGGAUAUGACGAUCUCUUGGAUGGGGUUGUGGAAAGCUUUUGCGGUAUGGGAUGAGCUCGCGGCCUAUCAGCUUGUUGGUGAGAUAAUGGCCUACCAAGGCGUCGACGGGUAGCCGGCCUGAGAGGGUGUACGGCCACAUUGGGACUGAGAUACGGCCCAGACUCCUACGGGAGGCAGCAGUGGGGAAUAUUGCACAAUGGGCGCAAGCCUGAUGCAGCGACGCCGCGUGGGGGAUGACGGCCUUCGGGUUGUAAACUCCUUUCGCAAUCGACGAAGCCUUUUGGUGACGGUAGGUCGAGAAGAAGCACCGGCUAACUACGUG